rnacentral:rRNA from 1 species
UCUGGUGGUGAUGGCGCGGUGGACACACCUGUUCCCAUCCCGAACACAGAAGUUAAGCACCGUAGUGGCGAAGGUAUCCGAAAGGACAGAAUAGCGAGCCGCCGGGC